rnacentral:rRNA from 1 species
GAUGAACGCUGGCGGCGUGCCUAAUACAUGCAAGUCGAGCGAACGGACGAGAAGCUUGCUUCUCUGAUGUUAGCGGCGGACGGGUGAGUAACACGUGGAUAACCUACCUAUAAGACUGGGAUAACUUCGGGAAACCGGAGCUAAUACCGGAUAAUAUUUUGAACCGCAUGGUUCAAAAGUGAAAGACGGUCUUGCUGUCACUUAUAGAUGGAUCCGCGCUGCAUUAGCUAGUUGGUAAGGUAACGGCUUACCAAGGCAACGAUGCAUAGCCGACCUGAGAGGGUGAUCGGCCACACUGGAACUGAGACACGGUCCAGACUCCUACGGGAGGCAGCAGUAGGGAAUCUUCCGCAACGGGCGAAAGCCUGACGGAGCAACGCCGCGUGAGUGAUGAAGGUCUUCGGAUCGUAAAACUCUGUUAUUAGGGAAGAACAUAUGUGUAAGUAACUGUGCACAUCUUGACGGUACCUAAUCAGAAAGCCACGGCUAACUACGUGCCAGCAGCCGCGGUAAUACGUAGGUGGCAAGCGUUAUCCGGAAUUAUUGGGCGUAAAGCGCGCGUAGGCGGUUUUUUAAGUCUGAUGUGAAAGCCCACGGCUCAACCGUGGAGGGUCAUUGGAAACUGGAAAACUUGAGUGCAGAAGAGGAAAGUGGAAUUCCAUGUGUAGCGGUGAAAUGCGCAGAGAUAUGGAGGAACACCAGUGGCGAAGGCGACUUUCUGGUCUGUAACUGACGCUGAUGUGCGAAAGCGUGGGGAUCAAACAGGAUUAGAUACCCUGGUAGUCCACGCCGUAAACGAUGAGUGCUAAGUGUUAGGGGGUUUCCGCCCCUUAGUGCUGCAGCUAACGCAUUAAGCACUCCGCCUGGGGAGUACGACCGCAAGGUUGAAACUCAAAGGAAUUGACGGGGACCCGCACAAGCGGUGGAGCAUGUGGUUUAAUUCGAAGCAACGCGAAGAACCUUACCAAAUCUUGACAUCCUUUGACAACUCUAGAGAUAGAGCCUUCCCCUUCGGGGGACAAAGUGACAGGUGGUGCAUGGUUGUCGUCAGCUCGUGUCGUGAGAUGUUGGGUUAAGUCCCGCAACGAGCGCAACCCUUAAGCUUAGUUGCCAUCAUUAAGUUGGGCACUCUAAGUUGACUGCCGGUGACAAACCGGAGGAAGGUGGGGAUGACGUCAAAUCAUCAUGCCCCUUAUGAUUUGGGCUACACACGUGCUACAAUGGACAAUACAAAGGGCAGCGAAACCGCGAGGUCAAGCAAAUCCCAUAAAGUUGUUCUCAGUUCGGAUUGUAGUCUGCAACUCGACUACAUGAAGCUGGAAUCGCUAGUAAUCGUAGAUCAGCAUGCUACGGUGAAUACGUUCCCGGGUCU